rnacentral:rRNA from 1 species
GUUGAACGCUGGCGGCAUGCCUUACACAUGCAAGUCGAACGGUAACAGGUCUUCGGAUGCUGACGAGUGGCGAACGGGUGAGUAAUACAUCGGAACGUGCCUAGUAGUGGGGGAUAACUACUCGAAAGAGUGGCUAAUACCGCAUGAGAUCUACGGAUGAAAGCAGGGGAUCGCAAGACGUUGUGCUACUAGAGCGGCCGAUGGCAGAUUAGGUAGUUGGUGGGAUAAAAGCUUACCAAGCCGACGAUCUGUAGCGGGUCUGAGAGGACGAUCAGCCACACUGGGACUGAGACACGGCCCAGACUCCUACGGGAGGCAGCAGUGGGGAAUUUUGGACAAUGGGCGCAAGCCUGAUCCAGCAAUGCCGCGUGCAGGAUGAAGGCCUUCGGGUUGUAAACUGCUUUUGUACGGAACGAAAAGCCCUGGGUUAAUACCCUGGGGUCAUGACGGUACCGUAAGAAUAAGCACCGGCUAACUACGUGCCAGCAGCCGCCGUAAGAC